rnacentral:lncRNA from 1 species
AGUAAAAAUACAUUUAUUAAUAAAAUAGACACUGAACAACUAAUACAAAGAUAGGUGGUCCAAAACCCAAGAGGUAUAUUUCAAUCUCAGAUAUAAUUAAGGACAAAAUAAGCCACAUGUUUGCAAGAUUAAAAUCAGUCUCUAAAAUAUCAGGCAUGGACAAUGUAGCACUCCAGAAAGCAGAAAUAACUUGAGGUCAGAUUCUGAUUUCCCCUUGGAGUAAAUCAGUUGCGAUUUCAGUGAACUCAGGGGAAUCAUGCAUCAGUAAACUCAGAAUCAUAGAAUCAUAGAAUCACAGAAUGAUUUGGGUUGGAAAGGGCCUUAAGAUCAUCUAGUUCCAACCCCCCUGCCAUGGGCAGGGAUACCUUCCACUAGACCAAGUUGCUCAACGCCCCAUCCAGCCUGUCCUUGAACACUGCCAGAGAUGGGGCAUCCACAGAUUCCUUGGGCAACCCGUUCCAGUUUUUCACCACUCUCACAGUAAAAAUUUCUUCCCUAUACCUAACAUGAACUUCCCCUGUUUAAGUUCGAACCCAUUACCCCUUGUCCUAUCACUAUAGUCCCUGAUGAAGAGUCCCUCUUGUCAUCCUUGUAGGCCCCCUUCAGAUACUGGAAGGCUGCUAUGAGGUCUCCACGCAGCCUUCUAUUCUCCAGGCUGAACAGCCCCAACUCUCUCAGCCUGUCUUCAUACGGGAGGUGCUCCAGCCCCCUUAUCAUCCUCGUGGCUCUCCCCUGGACUUGCUCCAACAGCUCCAUGUCCUUCUUAUGUUGAGGACACCAGAGCUGUACAGAGUACUCCAGGUGGAGUCUCACGAGAAUCAGACCUCAUUGCUAACAUUGUUGUGCUUGUGCCUUUUAAAAAACCAAGGGUGGUUCAUUUCAUUUCAUGUAAAGUGGUGGCUUUUAGCUUGAAAAGACUAUUGACAUAGACCCAUUAGAAAUUAUUUUACUAAUACGACAAAAGAUAUAUUUGCUGCAAUAUUAACCAUGCAUUUCUAUGUACACGGAACAGAAGCCUAUCCAGUUUAUCAAAGCAAAAGGAAACUUUCUUGUUACAUGAGAAUAUCUUUCAUGUAGAUGAAAAGGCCUGACCUAAAUGAAGCCACCAAACUGUAAACUAUGGCACUUGUGGGCAAUACGGACUCGUAAGCCACAGACCAGGGAAGCUGCUUCAAUCACACAUACACACGCUUCAGAUUUUGUCUAUGAGUCAUAAUUAUGGGAAAUGCAAUCUUCCUGUUCUAGUAACUUCAUGUUCAUAAAUUUGACUGUAAGAAUAGCUUGCUUUUUAAUCUAAUUGAUUCAGAAAGCAGGUUAUGAGACAACCUGCAUGAAGGGGUAACUACACAUCUUUCUCAGGCCACACAUCACCCAGAGAGCUACACGCAGACAUUAAGAAAGCAAUCUUUCCAGCAUUUUGUGGAACAACAUAAUUGCUCAAGCAAUGUAACAGGAGAGGUCUGCAGCUUCUGUGACAUGUGCUGUGGCACUGGUGAAGUGAGAAGCAUGUCACAUUCAAGGAGACAGUUUGAGAUAUGCUUUUCCCUCCACUGAAAGCCAGGCCAUGUGUCAGAUAAUGCUUCACCAUGAAUGCAACAUGUUACUAAGCAUUUGGUCAUGUGUGCAUGUAUUAGUGGACAGUAAGUCAUAUGCAUGCAUAAAUGUUAGGAUUUCGCGUCUGUAACAGUCAUAAUUAGAAAAUGAUGAAUAUUUGCACAUAUACGUUUACGUUUGUCUUUCAUAUUCUUCUUGGAAGACUGAUGUACUCUGAAUUUCUAGAGGAGUUGUUUUGCAUUGCAUAAAGUGAAUGAGGAGAAUGACAGAUAAGAAGUGGAUCCUUAGAGACUCAUCAUGUAUAUGGUCAUAGUUACCGUAUGGUUUAAAAAUUAACUGUAUUGAUCUAAGUUCCUUAAGUGGUGAUAAUGGAGCUGUGUCAAUUUAAAAUAAAUAUAUUUUCCAUUAUAAUAUCUGCUAUGAUUUGUAUCCCUUUGUCUUCAAAAUCACUAUAAGAAAUCUUAGUCAGGCAUUUCUAGAACAAGUCAGUAAACAUCUCAGUUGCAACUACACCUAACAUUCAGCCCUGAAAUUGGUGUCAAAGAUGACGCCAACCUAGUUUGCUAACAGAAUUUCACAAUUAUAAUUACUUUUCUGGAAGUCAAUCUACCUAACUUCAUUGCCAUAUUCAGUGAAAAUGGUGCGAUGCUUUUCUUGGUAUCAAAGUGAAUGUGAACUAGAGAAGGACUGACCACCUUUUUAAAACUGAACCUUUACAACAACAAGCUCAGUUAUAUGGCAAACUCAAAGCAGAACAGGAUAUAGACAGAAUUUUACAUCUCCCUGCAGCAGCUUUGACAUACCAACUUCUUCAAGUGGCUUGUGGUUAUCAAAGGGAUCAGAAAUGUGCAUAUUCUGCAAGGUACUUCGCAAGAACUGAAGGAUGUCAUGUAGCCAAGACUUUCCCAAUUAUUAGCACGCAUGGAAAAAAAAAAACCAAAAACAAAA